rnacentral:misc_RNA from 1 species
UUUCCGUAGGUGAACCUGCGGAAGGAUCAUUAUCGUAAAACCGAGGUGCGAGGGCUGUCGCUGACCUUUUCGGUCGUGCACGCCCGAGCGCCCUCACACAAUCCAUCUCACCCCUUGUGCACCACCGCGUGGGUCCCUUUCUGGCUCGUCCGGAGGGGGGCUCGCGUUUUCACACAAACUUGAAGUAGUGUAGAAUGUCCUUUUUUUGCGAUAACACGCAAUCAAUACAACUUUCAACAACGGAUCUCUUGGCUCUC